AAUGUAUCUGUUCAAGUGGAGAUAAUCCAUGCAAAUCAGAGGCACUGGCUCUCAGUGCUUGAUUCACAAAGAGAACUCAGCUUCAGGAGGUCACUCGUUCACAGCUGCUCCUCCCAUUAUAUUUUUCCCUUAUUGCAGAACUGCUGCAUGUAUACAGUGACUGAAAGGACUCAAUUUACUGCAACUGCUGCCUGGCUUUACUUACAACUUUCUUUAAAGGGGGACUUACCUUCUAUCUGUCUUACUAAGGUGAAAGUGCACCAGGGACAUCACCUAAAGCUGGGCACUAUGAGACCUAAUCUUUGGUAGGAGCCCAUGAGGGAUUGGAGGUCCUACUGUGACAGACUUCAUUUGGCUUCUUCUUCGUUGCUGUUUCCUUUCCUCAAAGGAUUUCUAAUGAAGUUGAGAUGAAGAUUCUGCUGCAUAGACAGCAAAAAGUGCUCAAGGAGGUUUACGCCUCCAGCAUGCUGCAAAGUCAUCUCUCCCACGGACCUAGGGUCUAAUAGCUUGAAAUGAGUGUCACAGAGACAAGAUUGGUAAGGUGUUCCGAAUAGUUUUGUGGCUGUAUGUGUUUUCGCUCACCAAGCUUCAAGUACAACUUGAAAAUAUCAUGUUGAGAGGAUUAUGUGCUUCAUCCUGCCU